UGCCUUUGAUUUCAGGACGUUAUUGUAUUACGUGCUUUCUAGCUCGAGAACGCGUCGGGCAUCUGGCUAUAGAAGGUAGUAUGGAGAUUUGCUAAUAUUCAAGCAGUUUAUCGGUUUUUGAUUGUUGGAAUGUAAACAACUACAAGAAUACACCGUAAAUCUAUACGGAUGCCCUUCGAUUGCUCGUCGAAGUCCUUUUUGCCCCAGCUGGUAGGUCUCCAGACGUUACAGAGAACCCCGAACAACCCAAUCUACUAAUCUCCGAUACCGCUUUAUACUCAUGAUCUUGUAUCCACUGACUGUCUUGUUAGAUUAACCCAAUAAAUUUCAUUCACUCCGCAUACUCAAUCCUAUAGAUACCCUUUUAAUUCUUCAAUUACAAACGUAAGUCGAUUUCACAAAACAGUCAAGAGUAAUCAAACCCACUUCAUUAAAAAUCCCGAUUCACCAUUACAACACUGACUUCAGCAACAAUUGCCUCAGUCUUCCCAAAACCCUAUGAAGAAAAAAAACCCAAUUCUCUGUCUUUUUUUUCCUUCC
rnacentral:lncRNA from 1 species